rnacentral:lncRNA from 10 species
CAGCACACUUUAGUAGCAAAAGAAAAUUGGUAGUGAAAGCAAAACAAGGAAAGAAAUCUCUCUGGGCCCUGCUUCUGUUUCUCAAAAGAAAACUGAAGCCUACCCAGAGGGUAAAUAUUGAGUCAGGAUCUAAACACAGUUGGACUUUACAGCUCUCAGGAUCGUAACACCUAACUUCUUCCAAAAAGUGAAAUGACUUUACUUCUAAUUUCCUCCAUUCAUCCAAUACCAUUUGAAAAUAGUGUCUGAGUGUAUACUAUUUUUCAAGCACUGUUCCUGGGAAUCCAGGUACACAGUAAACUUUAGAGACAAAGUUCCUGAUCUUAGUCCACUGUUCCAGUAGGAAAAGACAUCAACAUCGGGCCAAAUAGAU